rnacentral:rRNA from 1 species
CAAUAGCGUAUAUUAAAGUUGUUGCGGUUAAAAAGCUCGUAGUUGGAUUUCUGCCGGAGACGACCGGUCCGCCCUCUGGGUGCGCAUCUGGCUCGGCUUGGGCAUCUUCUUGGAAAGCGUAGCUGCACUUGAAUGUGUGGUGCGCGGUUCAGGACAUCUACUUUGAGGAAAUUAGAGUGUUUCAAGCAGGCACGGGCCUUGAAUACAUUAGCAUGGAAUAGUAAGAUAGGACCUUGGUUCUAUUUUGUUGGUUUCUAGAGCUGGGGUAAUGAUUAAUAGGGAUAGUUGGGGGCAUCCGUAUUUAACUGUCAGAGGUGAAAUUCUUGGAUUUGUUAAAGACGAACUACUGCGAAAGCAUUUGCCAAGGAUGUUUUCAUUGA